GCGACUGUCAGCUCGGUGGAGGAUCAAUCCCUUCGCUGCUGCCGGUGCUUAAGAUGUUUCCCAUUGCCCGCUCCGUACCACAUUCUACCUCUAUUUUAACUCUCCUUCCUUUUUUUUUGAUGUGCUCCAGUCACUCUGGCAGAGACGCUGUGGUGCUUUUGACCUUCAGACUCAGGGCAUCGACGCCCGGCAUGCCAGGCUGACACCACCCCCUGCUCCUCCCUCCCCCAUGAAAUUCAACAACUGGAGCCUUUUUGCUGAUCGGCACUUCUCGACCGCAGGAGAUGCCGGUUUGCAAGUGCAUGUGUGUUUGCAGUGCAUGUGCCUUGCACAUAGAUGGCAUUUCUCAAGUAAAGAAGCGCUGGUUGGAUCGUGGAAAGGAGCAGCUGCUGUUACUUGGUGGUGCAUGAACGCCCUGCAACAGUCCGUUUGUGAAAAUAGAAAAGUUUUAACGCGGCAUCGGCUCAAGUUAAUUAUUUGACUUUGACAUGCCAUCAUGUCAUUGGCAGAUGAGAGAGCUGUGCUAGGUUUGGCACAAAUGAGCAGCAUGAGGCAAUAAAACAGACCCAAGGCCACCUGAAUCUAAUGAACCGUUAUCUCUGCUUUUU
ensembl:lncRNA